AGGAGACGCUGGCGGCGUGCCUAACACAUGCAAGUCGAGCGGGGUUGAGGCGAGAGGUAACUCGAGCUUCUACCUAGCGGCGGACGGGUGAGUAACGCGUGGGCAACCUGCCUCAAGGUUUGGGAUAACAGCCCGAAAGGGCUGCUAAUACCGGAUAUGCCUAUGGCCUCGCAUGGGGCUAUGAGCAAAGGGGAAACCCGCCUUGAGAUGGGCCCGCGUCCCAUCAGCUAGUUGGUGAGGUAACAGCUCACCAAGGCGACGACGGGUAGCCGGCCUGAGAGGGUGACCGGCCACACUGGGACUGAGACACGGCCCAGACUCCUACGGGGGGCAGCAGUGGGGGAUCUUGCACAAUGGGCGAAAGCCUGAUGCAGCGACGCCGCGUGAGCGAAGAAGGCCUUCGGGUUGUAAAGCUCUGUCUGGAGGGACGAACAAAAUGACGGUACCUCCGGAGGAAGCCACGGCUAACUACGUG
rnacentral:rRNA from 1 species